CCCAGAGGUCAGGCUGAGCCCUCCAGGGAGAGUUGAGUACCCCCAGGUAGGGAGGUACUACUUGGGUCCUUCUUGCAUUGCAAAGGUUAGGGAUUGGGAAGAGGGGGUGCAGGGUGACAGGUGGUGGAGUAGGGAGGUCAGCAAGGGGUCUAGUCAGGCAGACGCUGAACUCAAAUAGAUCAGUCUUCCUUCCAGGCAGAGUCAUGAAAUGAGUUAGGUUCCAUGUAGCAUAACAGAUUUCCUUUCCCAUUAAAAAAAGUUCCACUCCCUGCUUUUCCUGGAACAGGCCUGUGAUGGAAUAGGUUGUCAUUUGAAUGAAUUCUGUCCCCUGGCAAUGAAUUUUUCCACUUUCACAUGGGCAGCUUUUUUUUUGCCAACCACAGGGGUAGGAAAACUGCCCCUGAUGGAUCCUGUGCUGCCGCCGGUGUCCUCAGCCAGUGUCCAGGCUGUCUUCCAGGAGAAGAGUGACCUCAGCCUGCAGAGGACAGAUGCAAUCUCCUGGGCGUCAACAUUGGCCCCAGAGGGAGUGUGAAGGGAAUUCUACAGGGCUGCAUAUGACUCCAGGUAGGGACACAAACAUCAUAAGUCAGACAGGGACUGGCCCAGGGCUUCUCCACUUUUCUUUAAAAAGAAAAAAAUCCUCGAAGUUACUGAUGCAAGUUAGUAUUUGAGAUCCAAAACCUACCAUCAUCAUAACAUGUCUACUCCUAGAUUUGGGGACUAAUUCCAAUUUCUUUUUCUUUCUUUUUUUUUUUUUUUAAUUGCUUUACAAGGAUUACUGCCAAGGCUCAGUGCCAGCACUAUGAAUCCACCACUCCUGGCAGGCUUUUAAAAAUUUUUGUUUUUAUAGUAUACUUGAUGUGACAGAGAGAGAAAGAUACCUGCAGACCUGCCUCACUGCUCAUGAAGCGCCACCAUCACCCCCACAGAUGAGGAGCGGGGACUUGAACUUGGGUUCUUGAACAUUGUAAUAUGUGCGCUUAACUGGGUGCACCACUGCCCGGCUCCAUAAUACCAGUUUCUUCCCUCUUCCAUCUCAACCUCUUUGAAAAUCUUUUUUUUUUUUUCUUUUUGUUUGCUCAAGCUUUCUGUUUUAGGAAAACAUGGAACUUAUAGAAAACUUGAAAAAGUAGUAGAGUGAAACCCAGACACCCUUCACUGAGAUUCCCUGGUUAUUACCAUUUUUCCACUUUAAUCCAUUAAUGUUUUAGUUUAUUUUUUUAGGUAGAGACCGAGAGGUAGACAGAGUAAAAGAGACCACAAUACUGAAGCUCCCUUCAGUGUGGUGGGGGCCAGGCUGAAGCCUGGGUCGUCCACAUGGCAAAGCAGUGCACUAUCCAAGUGAGCUAUUUAGCCACCCAACUCCCUUGUCACAUUUUAUAAAGCUAUGUUUCCUAGGUGGCUUGGCCUCCCAUCUCUAAAACACCCCACCUUGCUGGUUUGGGCUGCCUCUCCCACUCUAUGCUACUUUUUUCCAAGAUUGCUGUUGGGAAAGAAACGAAAGGGGAAAGACAAACAAUGGCAUAUAUAAGCUUAGGAUCCUAAUAAGCCGACAUAGAAAAUUUACUCUCCUAUGGACAGAGUUCACAGUGAGGGCAAGUUGACAAUAGUACUGGUUAUUCUUCCCCAGCUCUACCGAGAUCUAAUUGAUAUAUAGCUUAUGUAAGGUUUUUUGGUUUUAAAUUGUCACCAUGGUUAUUUCUGGGGCUUGCUGCCAACUCUCUACAAAUCCACAGCUCCUGGCAACCACUAUUCCUUUUUUUUUUUUUUUUUUAUUUAAUAGGGCAGAGGGAAACUGAGGGGAGAGGGGAGAGACAGGUAGGCCUACUU